AACCUUAGUUUAAAGUAACGCCUGCUCAGUGUAAAUUCACAAAUAAAUAGCUGCAAAUCAAUUGUACUAAGGUAGCAUAAUCAUUAGCCUUCUAAUUAAAGGAUAGAAUGAAUGGCAAAACAAUACAUCAACUGUCUCAGUUAAUCUAAAUUAAAUUAUAGAUAAAGUAAAAAUACUUCAAAUAAAAAGAAAGACGACAAGACCCUGAUAAACUUAACAUUUAGCUGGGGCGGCAUAUAAAGUACAUCUUAAUAUUAUUUAAACACAACACAAAACUAUAAAAAAAUAAAAAGAUAAAGUUACUACAGGGAUAACAGCGCCACACUUCUUAAAAGAUCAUAUUCAAAGAAGUAUAUACGACCUCGAUGUUGAAUUAAUUAUCCUUUAAAGAGCAAAAGCUUUAAAUAUUCAAGGAGGUCUGUUCGAC
rnacentral:rRNA from 1 species